GACGAACGCUGGCGGCGUGCUUAACACAUGCAAGUCGAACGGUAAGGCUCCAGCUUGCUGGGGUACACGAGUGGCGAACGGGUGAGUAACACGUGGGUGACCUGCCCUGCACUUCGGGAUAAGCCUGGGAAACUGGGUCUAAUACCGGAUAGGACCAUGGUGUGGAUACUGUGGUGGAAAGUUUUUUCGGUGUGGGAUGGGCCCGCGGCCUAUCAGCUUGUUGGUGGGGUAAUGGCCUACCAAGGCGGCGACGGGUAGCCGGCCUGAGAGGGUGGACGGCCACAUUGGGACUGAGACACGGCCCAGACUCCUACGGGAGGCAGCAGUGGGGAAUAUUGCACAAUGGGCGGAAGCCUGAUGCAGCGACGCCGCGUGGGCGAUGACGGCCUUCGGGUUGUAAACUCCUUUCACCAUCGACGAAGGGUUUCUGACGGUAGAUGGAGAAGAAGCACCGGCUAACUACAUG
rnacentral:rRNA from 1 species